rnacentral:lncRNA from 1 species
UAGAUUAACUUUGCCCUUUGUUUCAAUGAUAUUAAAUACAUUCACAAGAAAGUUAUCAUCACAAGGACUUUUGUGGCUUGUAUUGAGGCCAGACUAAGAAGAAAAAAAUGGUUCUUUUGGAUAACAAAACGCCUUGAGCUAAUAGAACAAUAAUUCAAUUUAUGAUAUAACAUUAAUCCUUCUUUUGCUUUAAAAUUGAAUAAUUCACUUCCCCAACUUAUUUCCCAACUUUCAUUCAUUAAAUUCAUUUUUCUUUCUUAUCUUCUUUCUUUUUUAUACUUUUUGUUAUGUUUCUCAAUGCUCCCUUAUGACAUGAACUCCCCUAAACUUAAACCAUUCUCCUGAUUCUAGAGCGUAUGUUCAUCUUAACUUAAGGUAAAAGGGUCAAUAAUCUAUCAUUAAGCUUAAGGUUCUAGGUAUAAGAAAUCUUUCGUUUAGGGUUCAAAGGU